rnacentral:rRNA from 1 species
CAGCCGCCACGGGAAUACGGAGGGUGCAAGCGUUAAUCGGAAUUACUGGGCGUAAAGCGCACGCAGGCGGUCUGUUAAGUCAGAUGUGAAAUCCCCGGGCUCAACCCGGGAACUGCAUUUGAAACUGGCAGGCUUGAGUCUUGUAGAGGGGGGUAGAAUUCCAGGUGUAGCGGUGAAAUGCGUAGAGAUCUGGAGGAAUACCGGUGGCGAAGGCGGCCCCCUGGACAAAGACUGACGCUCAGGUGCGAAAGCGUGGGGAGCAAACAGGAUUAGAUACCCGAGUAGUCCCUGUCUCUUAUAC